CCCUGGUUAGCUGAAUCGGUAGAGCGCUCCACCUGUAAUGGAGAGAUGUCGGGUUCGAUACCCGGACCAGGCG
rfam:Ixodes scapularis strain Wikel colony gcontig_1107728837648, whole genome shotgun sequence.